UUCAGAUGGCCAACAGGCACAUGAAAAGAUGGUCCACAUCGCUAAUCAUCAGGGAAAUGCAAAUUAAAACCACAAUGAGAUAUCACCUCACAACAGUUAGGAUGGCCAACAUCCAAAAGACAAACAACAACAAAUGCAGCGAGGAUGCAGAGAAAGGGGACCCCUCCUACACUGCUGGGGAAUUUCUUCAACUUGGUAAAGAAUAUCUACAAAAAAACCUGUAGUUAACAUAACACAUAAUAGUGAGAAGCUCAAGCUUUCCCACUAAGAUCAGGAACAAGGGAAGGAUAUGAAUGUCCCUUCUCACUACUGCUUCAUCACAGAAACUGGAAAGUCCUUUUUUAAUGCAGUAGUUGUCAGGGGGAAUACAAAUAUACAGAUUGUGAAGGAAGAAAUAAAACUGCAUGUGACAUAGAAAAUUCAAAAGAAUCAAAAAAAAUGAAUAAGGAAAGUCAAUUGCUGUCCUAUAUACUGGCAAUAAGCAAGUGGACUUUAAGAUAAAAGCAGUACUAUUUAUAUUGGCACUCCUAAAAAUGAAGUACUUAGGUACAAAUCUAAGAAACUAUUAUAAGAUCUGUAUAAGGAAAGCUACAAACCUGUGGCGAAAGAUAACAGAGAAGAACUAAAUGGAGAGAUACUCCAUGUUCAUUGAUAGGAAGACUCAAUAUUGUCAAGGUGCCAGUUCUCAUCUUGAUCUGUAAACUGAGUGCAAUCCCAAUGAAAAUCCCUGCAAGUAAUUUUGUGGAUAAUGACAAACUCUUUCUUAAUUUUAUAUGGAGAAGCAAAAGACCUAGAAUGCCCACACAAUAUUGAAGGAAAAGAGAAAGAGAACUAAUGCAAUACAACUUCACGACAUAAUAUAAAUAUAGCUACAGUAAUAAAGACUAUGUGGUAUUGGCAGAGGAAUAGACAAAUAUAUCAGUGGAACAGAACUUGUAAUCUCAUUUCCCAAACCUGUGUUUCUCCUUUAUUCUCAUAUUACUACCAUUUUACUCUUAACACUUCUGACACCAGAUGUGUGUGGGAUUCUACCGCCUCAACCAAUUCUGUAAUACUACCUGAGUGUCCGACAAUUUAACUCAAUUCUGACAGUUACCUCCAUGAUGAUGGCAUGAGAUCCCACAGGUUAAGGUCUCAGUCCCACAAGAUUGCCCCCACUUCAGAUGCCAAUCACAUGUAGUAGGUCCCUAGGUUACCCACAACUUCUGUCCUAGUUGGCUACAAAUUGGAGGUUCCUAUAUCCUACUCCUUCAGUUAGUUGAUUGCUGGAACAGCUCAUGUAGCUCAUAGAAACAGAGUAGAGUGUUCAGAAAUAGACCCACACCAAUAUAGUCAACUGAUCUUUGAAAAUGGAGCAAAGGCAAUACAAUGGAGCAAAGAAAGUCUCUUCAGCAAAAGGCGCUGGAACAACUGGACACACCGUCCACUGCAAAGAAGUGAAUCUAGGUAGAGGUUACACCCUUCGCAAAAAUUAGCUCAAAGUGGAUCAUAGACCUAAAUGUGGAAUGCAAAACUUAAAAAUUCUAGAACAUUGGAGAAUAUCUAGAUGACCUUAGAUAUGGCAAUGACUUCUUAGGUACAACACCAAAGGCAUGAUCCAUAAAGUAAUUGAAAUAAUGUACUUCAUUAAAGUAAAAACUUCCAUUCUUGAAAAGAAAAUGUCAAGAGAAUGAAAAGACAAGGCAUAGAAUCAGAUAGUAAUAAAGAAUUUUUAAUUCUUUCCAUUUUCACAGAUGUGUGUAUUUAUGAAGCUACCACCACAAUCAAAAGAAGAUUGCCAUCACCCUAAGAAAAAUUUAUCUUUAAGCCUUUUAUUAAAAACUAUAAAGAUCAUGGAACAGAGAUGGUUAUAUCAUAAGUCAGACAGCUAAGGAAAUUCACUUUUUAAAUAAAAAGCUAAUGAAUAUUGUAUAUAUUAUUAUUUUGAAUUUUUUUUUGUACAAUUUAUUUACAGUUUUAUACCUUUGUGGUCUGAAAAGUUGGUUGGUAGGAUUUCAAUCUUUUUGAAUUUACUGAGGCUCUUUUUGUGGCCUAGUAUGUGGUCUAUUCUGGAGAAUGUUCCAUGUGCACUUGAGAAGAAUGUGUAUCCUCUUGCUUUUGGGGGUAGAGUUCUAUAGAUGUCUAUUAGGUCCAUCUGUUCUAGUGUGUUGUUCAGUGCCUCUGUGUCCUUACUUAUUUUCUGUCUGGUGGAUCUGUCCUUUGGAGUGAAUGGUGUGUUGAAGUCUCAUGAAAUGAAUUCAUUGCAGUCUAUUUCCUCCUUUAGUUCUGUUAGUAUUUGUUUCACAUAUGCUGGUGCUCCUGUGUUGGGUGCAUAUAUAUUUAUAAUGGUUAUAUCCUCUUGUUGGACUGACCCCUUUAUCAUUAUGUAGUGUCCUUCUUUAUCUCUUGUUAACUUUCUUUGUUUUGAAGUCUUAUUUUGUCUGAUACUAGUACUGCAACACCUGCUUUUUUCUCCCUAUUGUUUGCCUGAAAUAUGUUUUUCCAUCCCUUGACUUUAAGUCUGUGCAUGUCUUUGGGUUUGAGGUGAGUCUCUUGUAAGCAGCAUAUAGAUGGGUCUUGUUUUUUUAUCCAUUCAGUAACUCUAUGUCUUUUGAUUAGUGUAUUCAGUCCAUUUACAUUUAGGGUGAUUAUCGAUAGGUAUGUAUUUAUUGCCAUUUCAGGCUUUAGAUUCAUGGUUACCAAAGGUUCCAGGUUGCUUUCCUUACUAUCUAAGAGUCUAACUUAACGCACUUAGUAUGCUGUUACAAACACAAUCUAAAGGUUCUUUUGUAUUUCUCCUCCUUUUUCUUCCUCUUUCAUUCUUUAUAUAUUAGGUAUCAGAUUCUAUACUUUUUCUCUAUCCCUUGAUUGGCUUUGGGGAUAGUCAAUUUAAUUUUGCAUUUGCCUCACUAUCAGCUGCUCCACCCUCCCUACCAUGAUUUUACUACCUCUGGUGACAGCUAUCCAACCCUAGGAACACUUCCAUCUAUAGCAGUCCCUCCAAAAUAUACUGUAGAGAUGGUUUGUGCGAGGUAAACUCUCUCAACUUUUGCUUAUCUGGAAAUUGUUUAAUCCCCCCUUCAAAUUUAAAUGAUAAUCUCGCCAGAUAAAGUAAUCUUGGUUCCAGGCCCUUCUGCUUCAUGGCAUUAAAUACAUCAUGCCACUCCCUUCUGGC